GACGAACGCUGGCGGCGUGCUUAACACAUGCAAGUCGAACGAAGAGCGAUGGAAGCUUGCUUCUAUCAAUCUUAGUGGCGAACGGGUGAGUAACGCGUAAUCAACCUGCCCUUCAGAGGGGGACAACAGUUGGAAACGACUGCUAAUACCGCAUACGAUCUAAUCUCGGCAUCGAGGAUAGAUGAAAGGUGGCCUCUACAUGUAAGCUAUCACUGAAGGAGGGGAUUGCGUCUGAUUAGCUAGUUGGAGGGGUAACGGCCCACCAAGGCGAUGAUCAGUAGCCGGUCUGAGAGGAUGAACGGCCACAUUGGGACUGAGACACGGCCCAGACUCCUACGGGAGGCAGCAGUGGGGAAUCUUCCGCAAUGGACGAAAGUCUGACGGAGCAACGCCGCGUGAGUGAUGACGGCCUUCGGGUUGUAAAGCUCUGUUAAUCGGGACGAAAGGCCUUCUUGCGAAUAGUGAGAAGGAUUGACGGUACCGGAAUAGAACGCCACGGCUAACUACGUG
rnacentral:rRNA from 1 species